CGGGGUGUGGCGCAGUUGGCUAGCGCGCCUGGUUUGGGACCAGGAGGUCGAAGGUUCGAGUCCUUUCACCCCGACCA
rnacentral:tRNA from 1 species